rnacentral:tmRNA from 1 species
GGGGGCGACCGGUUUCGAUUGUGUAGGUGGCUCUGUGACUGCGCGCCCAGGUCCUCGGGUUCCUGGUAAAACACUCGGGAAAUUCACAACUGCGAAUAACAACUUCGCUCUCGCCGCGUAAAGCUUAGGCUUUACCCGGCAGUGCCUGAGAGGUAGCCCCGCCCGAGGCGGCACUCAGGUAUCGCAAAUUCGGGCUGGCUGGCUGGCGCGUCCUCCGCCAGUCGGCGAGAUCAAGAUGGACUCAUCCGUGCGACGGAGGCCCACCGGCCAGCGCCCGGAGAAACCAAUCGGUGGGAUACGCGCGUAGACGUUGCGGAAGAUCUUAUGCAAGACGGGAGUUCGAAUCUCCCCGCCUCCACUU